GGGGAAUAUUGCACAAUGGACGAAAGUCUGAUGCAGCAACGCCGCGUGGAGGAUGACACAUUUCGGUGCGUAAACUCCUUUUAUAUAGGAAGAUAAUGACGGUACUAUAUGAAUAAGCACCGGCUAACUCCGUGCCAGCAGCCGCGGUAAUACGGAGGGUGCAAGCGUUACUCGGAAUCACUGGGCGUAAAGAGCGUGUAGGCGGGUGUAUAAGUCAGAAGUGAAAUCCUAUAGCUUAACUAUAGAACUGCUUUUGAAACUGUAUACCUAGAAUGUGGGAGAGGUAGAUGGAAUUUCUGGUGUAGGGGUAAAAUCCGUAGAGAUCAGAAGGAAUACCGAUUGCGAAGGCGAUCUACUGGAACAUUAUUGACGCUGAGACGCGAAAGCGUGGGGAGCAAAC
rnacentral:rRNA from 1 species